rnacentral:siRNA from 1 species
CUCAUGUGUAAUGGAUUCAUGGA